UGGGUCCAGAACUUUCAAAGCCUCUCAACCUUACUGUGCACUUCUCUCCUCUGUUUCCGUCUCUCUAUAAAUUCCCAAUCUUCACUGAUUGAUCGCAUCAGCAAGCAUAUCUUAAACUCUUCUCGGUCGAGAAAUCAAGAAAAUCCUUUGCAAAAUCGUUCUUUUCUGCUUGUACUAUUCUCUACCUUAACAGGUGGCUAUGGCUACUUCAACUCUGUCUUGGUCAGCUGCUCCUUUCGUGUCAAAGAAGCCCGCUAAUAUUUCAACUAAAGGAAUGGCUCCUUGCUCCUUAAGCUUCCAGCAGAGACGUUCCAACAUGGGUAGGCCUGCACGGCUGUGUUUAGUGAGAGCUCAGGCUGGGGAAAACAAGGAUACAUCCGUGGAUGUGCAGGUCAGUAAUCAGGGUAACCAAGGCCUAGCAGUUGAGAAAAGACCUCGGACAUUGGCUGUUGAUGUCUCACCUUUCGGUAAGUCGUGUUUAUCAGUUCUGCUUUUUCAAGUAGUUCAUAAAUGCAUAACAUAAAUUGGGAAUGACUCGAAAAAUUUGAUGUUGGUUACAGGUUUGUUAGAUCCAUUUUCUCCUAUGAGGACAAUGCGUCAAAUGCUGGACACAAUGGACAGGAUAUUUGAGGAUGCGAUGACAUUGCCUGGUAGCAGAAGCAGGACAGCAGCAGGGGAAGCACGUGCACCUUGGGACAUCAAAGAUGACGAAAAAGAGAUCAAGAUGAGGUUCGACAUGCCAGGACUUUCCAAGGAAGAUGUGAAGGUCUCUGUGGAGGAUGAUGUGCUUGUCAUAAAGGGUGAGCAUAAGAAGGAAGAAGGUGGAGAUGAUUCAUGGUCUAGCAGAAGUUUCAGUUCCUACGAUACACGUCUUAAACUUCCAGAUAAUUGCGAGAAAGAUCGAAUCAAGGCUGAGCUGAAGAAUGGAGUUCUCUUCAUUUCCAUUCCUAAGACCCAAGUGGAACGCAAGGUCAUUGGUGUAGAAAUUCAGUGAAAGAUUAUUUAUGAAGAUGUGUAAGUUUUUUGUUUAAGGUGUGCGGUUCUCGGUAUGUAUGUAUGCGUAUAGAACAAUGAGUCCUUCAACUUUGUAUUACUAAUCUGGAACUAUGUAUAAGGAAGAACAUCUUGCUUGCUAUUAAAAGGUUGCGAAAAAAAAAAUUGGCUGAAUUUCUACUUUCUUUUGGAGAUUAUUUCAUAUUUUAUAUUUUUAUUUUAUAAUAAAUUAAAGAUAAAUAUUUGUUUUU
rnacentral:misc_RNA from 1 species